rnacentral:rRNA from 1 species
CUUGACAACUAUAAGAGGUCUGGCCUGCCCAGUGAUAAAUUCAACGGCCGCGGUAUCCUAACCGCGCGAAGGUAGCAUAAUCACUUGUUCUUUAAAUAGGGACUUGUAUCAACGGCAUCACGAGGGUUACACUGUCUCCUCUCUCUAAUCAGUGAAACUGAUCUCCCCGUGAAGAAGCGGGGAUGGACUAAUAAGACGAGAAGACCCCAUGGAGCUUUAAACCUCACAGCAACUCUAAUACCCAACCCCUCAUAACUUAUAGAGCAGUGCACGUCGGUUUUAGGUUGGGGCGACCGCGGAGUAAAAAUUACCCUCCACGACGAAAAGAACUAAAUCUUUAUUUAAGAGCAACCGCUCUAUAAAUUAGUAUACUAACGAACAAUGAUCCGAUAAUCGAUCAACGGACCA